UACGUAGGGUGCAAGCGUUGUCCGGAAUUAUUGGGCGUAAAGAGCUCGUAGGCGGUUUGUCGCGUCGAAUGUGAAAACCCGGGGCUCAACCCCGGGCCUGCAUUCGAUACGGGCAGACUAGAGUUCGGUAGGGGGAGUCUGGAAUUCCUGGUGUAGCGGUGAAAUGCGCAGAUAUCAGGAGGAACACCGGUGGCGAAGGCGGGACUCUGGGCCGAUACUGACGCUGAGGAGCGAAAGCAUGGGGAGCAAACAGG
rnacentral:rRNA from 1 species